CUGACCAACCAUCUCCCCAUGCCCCUUGAGGGCUGUGUGACCUUGGGUGAGGCUCCGACCUCGAGGUUCACGUUCAUCUGUAAAAUUGGGCGCAUGCAGAGCUCAAGGAGCUGCCAGCCAGGAAAUCACUCUGUGAACCAUAAAGCAAAGUGUUGCCUCUGGGACAAGCCGGGGCCCCUGCCUGAAGGAGGAGACAGUGUGUGCUGGACAAGUGGCAUGGGGACAGCUUGAGAGCAGGAGUUUCAUGGUAGAGGAAGGAAGCAUCAGGGUAGCAGAGAAAGAACCAUCAGUCAGGGAUGGCUGGAGCCUUCCAACUGAGGCAUGCAUGCCGGAGGAACCUCAAUGGAUGGAAAAGAUAUCACGGGGCACAGCCUUCCAGGGCAGCCGAGGCCUGGCCACCUUGUAGCUGUCCAAGGCUGGGGCUGCUGGUUGGCUCAGGGGAGUCCUUGAGGGCUAGAGUGGGAAGGGGAGAGUGCGACACCGGGACCCACUCGGGAAAGCCCUGAUGCUAAGAAAUAGGGGCCAUCUUCCUGGGCACCAUGGUGCAUGACUGUCAUCCCAGCGGCUCAGGAGGCUGAGGCAGGAGGAUUGUGAGUUCAAAG
rnacentral:lncRNA from 1 species